CACCAUCAUCAUCAUCAUAACAGCACUUCCUCGUCUUGUUUACAUCAUAUUGGUUUCAGUCACUGUUAGAGGAAGGCUGUUCUCAAGAAAGUCAAUUUGUGCCUUGAAUAUUUUAUUCCUUCUCACGAGGGCGCUUCGUUUGGUCCCUGGUUUACUAUCUAGAUCUAUAAGGUGGGUCAGCAGCAAAAAUGGAGUUUCCCCAUCUUGGUCAACACUGCAACGAAUCGACUUGCAAGCAACUUGAUUUCUUGCCAAUGAAGUGUGAUGCCUGUUCCAAGAUCUUCUGUCGAGAUCACAUUAUGUACACUUCCCACAAAUGUCCUGAUUCUUACAAGAAGGAUAACCAGAUCCCCGUGUGCCCUCUGUGUAACUUGCCUAUCCCUCUGAGGAAAGGAGAGCUCCCAGAUGUGGUGGUGGGGAGACACAUUGAGUCUGAUUGUCAGUCGGAUCCGGCAAAGGAGAGGAGAAAGGUGUACACAAACAGAUGCUCCAAGAAAGGAUGCAAGCAGAAAGAGCUGGUCCCCGUGAAGUGCGAGACGUGUCGACUCAACUUCUGCCUCCGACACCGACACGAGCUGGACCACAACUGUAAGGGAUACCAGAACUCUGGCCGGGCUGUCAGUAAUGCUGGUGCUGCAGCAUUGCUCCGGGCUCAGCAGGCGACGUCUUCCAAGAAAUCCCAAAAUUUAUCAUCAUCAUCAUCAUCAUCAUCAGGGCACCCAAGCAAUCGAAAUUCCAACAGCUCUGUUCCAAGGGCAAACAACCCUGCAGCUCUUUCAUCCUUACAAGGAACACUAACAGAAGAUGAAGCCCUGGCCCGUGCCUUACAACAGUCCUUGGGAGGCAGCUCUGAUGCUUUGCCCGAAGGGAUGAGCCAGCAAGAACGUGAGGAUUUCCUCCUAGCCCAGGCUCUGUCGGCCAGUGAGCAGGAAGCGGCGCGGUCACGCCAGAGGCCGGCACAAACUGUGAGGGCCUAGAAUGUUCUAGCAUGUCGUGUUGAGUGAGAGAGAAGAUGGAGGAGGAAAAUGUUUGUUUGCUGGAAACCGACAAGAUCAGCGGUCUGCGUGUACUGUACAAUAGAUUAUAUAUAUAGAUAGAUAGAUAAAUUGAUAAGACACGAUACACAUGAUAUAUUAUAUAUAUAUAUAUAUAAAAGUCUCUGCCAGUCAACCGUUGCCUUGUGGAUGCCAUCAGGGGUUGUGUGUUGUACCGUUCCUCCAAGGGUUGACCGACAUCCCUGUGAGUGUGUAGAGUAAAACGUUGAACUCAGGUUGGAGCUGCCACAAAUCAUGUGACCUGAAUACAUUGUCACCGCAGAUUUCUUCUGUGGGCUUUGUCAUAUUGAUCAUAUUAAUAUGAUUUGUUGGUGGUUACAAGUUAUAAUAAAAUAACAAAUACUAAGGAUUGAAUUUAUGUAAUGCAUAUCCAGGCUCGACUGCAUGCUUUUUGUGCUUUACAACCAAAGGUUCAUGAAGUCACCUCACCCAAGAACGUUUUAGUGUGAGCCUGCUCUCAGAAGUUGUUCUACUGAAUGGCAUAUUUGUCUCUGGCCUUUUGUCUUUCACUUUUGACGAGCCCUGUGGUUUUUAUCUGAAUGUCUGGGAAGACAUAAAUCACGGCAGUGCAGUAGUGGAUUUAGAAAAAAAAGCACGAAAGACGGAAAUUUUGGAGGAGAAGAAACA